AUUGAACGCUGGCGGCAGGCCUAACACAUGCAAGUCGAACGCGUGGCGGACGGGUGAGUAAUGUCUGGGAAACUGCCCGAUGGAGGGGGAUAACUACUGGAAACGGUAGCUAAUACCGCAUACCAUCGGAUGUGCCCAGAUGGGAUUAGCUAGAAGGGGGGGUAACGGCUCACCUAGGCGACGAUACCUUCCUGGCCUGAGAGGAUGACCAGCAAAACUGGAAAUGAGCCACGGUCCAGACUCCUACGGGAGGCAGCAGUGGGGAAUAUUGCACAAUGGGCGCAAGCCUGAUGCAGCCAUGCCGCGUGUAUGAAGAAGGCCUUCGGGUUGUAAAGUACUUUCAGCGAGGAGGCGUUACUCGCAGAAGAAGCACCGGCUAACUCCGUGCCAGCAGCCGCGGUAAUUC
rnacentral:rRNA from 1 species